rnacentral:rRNA from 1 species
AUAUAUAUAUAUUUUUUUUUGUUGAAUAAAAAUUAUUAAUAUAUAUAUAGAAAUUAAAUGUUAGUCGAUUUUAAUAUAUCUAGUUUUUUUAGAAAAAAAUUUAAUUUUAUUUUUAUAUAUUAUUUUAUUAAUUAAAUAUUAAAAUAAUAGUAAGAUUUUAUAUUAAAGGGGAUGAGCUUUUUAAUAAAUUAAUAAAAUUAAAUAUAAAAUUUUAGUAAGUAGAAUUAUAAGUUUUUAUCUUUAUUAGUGUUUUAUAACUAACUAAAAUUUUAUUAAAAUUUAUAUUAAAUUUAUUUAUUUUAUAAAAAAAAAUUUUUUAUUAAUAUAAAAAUUUUUAUUAUGAUAAAAUUAGUAUAAAUUUAUAUGUAUAUAAUAAUUUAUAAAUUAUAGGUUAGUUAAAGGAAUUCGGCAAAUAUAUUUUUCACCUGUUUAUUAAAAACAUGGCUUAUUGAUAAUAAUUUUAAGUCUGACCUGCCCACUGAGUAUUUAAAUGGCCGCGGUAUAUUGACCGUGCAAAGGUAGCAUAAUCAUUAGUUUUUUAAUUGAAAGCUGGAAUGAAAGGUUGAAUGAAAAAAUAGCUGUCUCUAACUAAAUUAUUUAGAAUUUUAUUAUUAAGUAAAAAAGCUUAAAUAAUUAUUGAAGACGAGAAGACCCUAUAGAGUUUUAUAUUUUAUUAUUUAUAAGUUUUUAGUAUUUUAGUUUUAUUAUUAAUAAAAUAUUUAAUUGGGGUGAUUGAAAAAUUAAAAUAACUUUUUUUUAUAUAAAACAUUAAUUUAUGAACAAUUGAUCCUUUAUUUAAGAUUAAAAGAUUAAAUUACCUUAGGGAUAACAGCGUAAUUUUUUUUGAGAGUUCUAAUCGAAAAAAAAGAUUGCGACCUCGAUGUUGGAUUAAAAUUUAUUUUUGGUGUAGUAGCUAAAAUAUUGGGUCUGUUC